AAUGAACGCUGGCGGCGUGCCUAACACAUGCAAGUCGAAUGUGCCGCAAGGUGCAUGGCAGACGGGUGAGUAACGCGUGGGCAAUCUACCUUUUCGUGGGGAAUAACGAUCCGAAAGGAUUGGUAAUACCGCAUGAGACCAAUGGCUGGGAUGCUGUUGGUGAAACCUGGGGACCGCAAGGCCUGGGGCGAGAAGAGGAGCCUGCGUCUGAUUAGCUAGUUGGCGGGGUAACGGCCCACCAAGGCGACGAUCAGUAGCCGGCCUGAGAGGGUGAUCGGCCACACUGGAACUGAGACACGGUCCAGACUCCUACGGGAGGCAGCAGUGGGGAAUUUUGCGCAAUGGACGAAAGUCUGACGCAGCAACGCCGCGUGGGUGAUGAAGGUCUUCGGAUUGUAAAACCCUGUCGUCGAGGACGAAGG
rnacentral:rRNA from 1 species